GACAGACCCCUGGUUCACCGGUUGUUCCGCCAGGAGCAUCGCCGGGUAGCUAAGUCUGGAUCGGAUAAGUGCUGAAAGCAUCUAAGUACGAAGCCGGCUUCAAGAUAAGAUAUCCUCAUAAGGGUCGUUGUAGACUACAACGUUGAUAGGCUGCAGGUGUAAAGGCAGUAAUGUCAUAGCCGAGCAGUACUAAUUGCCCGAAAGCUUUCACAGG
rfam:Dysgonomonas mossii DSM 22836 genomic scaffold supercont1.5, whole genome shotgun sequence.